rnacentral:rRNA from 1 species
AGGCCGUAAACCCAAGGUUUCCAGGGGAAGGUUCGUCCGCCCUGGGUUAGUCGGGACCUAAGCUGAGGCCGAAAGGCGUAGGUGAUGGACAACAGGUUGAUAUUCCUGUACUACCGAUAACCGUUUGCGAGAAGGGAUGACACAGUAGGAUAAGCUAAGCACACUGUUGGUUAUGUGUGCCCAAGCAUUGAGGCAGUCAAAGUAGGCAAAUCCGCUUUGAUAAUGCUGGG